rnacentral:rRNA from 1 species
UAAUACAGAGACUGCAAGCGUUACUCGGAUUCACUGGGCGUAAAGGGAGCGCAGGCGGAAUCGUGUGUCGGAUGUGAAACCCGGGGGCUCAACUCCCGGACUGCGUCUGAAACUGCGAUUCUAGGGACUCGGAGGGGCUAGUGGAAUUCUUGGUGGAGCAGUGAAAUGCGUAGAUAUCAAGAGGAACACCAACGGCGAAGGCAGCUAGCUGGACGAGAUCCGACGCUCAGGCUCGAAAGUAUGGGGAGCAAAAAGGAUUAGAUACCCUUGUAGUCCAUACUGUAAACGAUGUCGACUAGGUCUUGGGGCAUUCGAACGCCCCAGGGCUCAAGCUAACGCAAUAAGUCGACCGCCUGAGGACUACGGUCGCAAGACUA